AUGGUUAAGUUAGAAAGGGCGCACGGUGAAUGCCUUGGCACUAGGAGCCGAUGAAGGACGGGACUAACACCGAUAUGCUUCGGGGAGCUGUAAGUGAGCUUUGAUCCGGAGAUUUCCGAAUGGGGAAACCCACUGUUCGUAAUGGAACAGUAUCUUUAUCUGAAUACAUAGGAUAUUGAAGGCAGACCCGGGGAACUGAAACAUCUAAGUACCCGGAGGAAGAGAAAGCAAAUGCGAUUUCCUGAGUAGCGGCGAGCGAAACGGAAUUAGCCCAAACCAAGAGGCUUGCCUCUUGGGGUUGUAGGACACUCUAUACGGAGUUACAAAGGAACGAAGUAAAUGAAGCGACCUGGAAAGGUCCGUCAAAGAAGGUAACAACCCUGUAGUUGAAACUUCGUUCCCUCUUGAGUGGAUCCUGAGUACGGCGGAACACGUGAAAUUCCGCCGGAAGCUGGGAGGACCAUCUCCCAAGGCUAAAUACUACCUAGUGACCGAUAGUGAACCAGUACCGUGAGGGAAAGGUGAAAAGCACCCCGGAAGGGGGAGUGAAAGAGAUCCUGAAACCGUGUGCCUACAAGUAGUCAGAGCCCGUUAAUGGGUGAUGGCGUGCCUUUGUAGAAUGAACCGGCGAGUUACGAUCCCAUGCAAGGUUAAGCUGAUAAGGCGGAGCCGUAGCGAAAGCGAGUCUGAAUAGGGCGUUUAGUAUGUGGUUGUAGACCCGAAACCAGGUGAUCUACCCAUGUCCAGGGUGAAGUUCAGGUAACACUGAAUGGAGGCCCGAACCCACGCACGUUGAAAAGUGCGGGGAUGAGGUGUGGGUAGCGGAGAAAUUCCAAUCGAACCUGGAGAUAGCUGGUUCUCUCCGAAAUAGCUUUAGGGCUAGCCUCAUGUUGUGAGAGUCUUGGAGGUAGAGCACUGAUUGGACUAGGGGCCCCCAACGGGUUACCGAAUUCAGUCAAACUCCGAAUGCCAAAGACUUAUCCAUGGGAGUCAGACUGCGAGUGAUAAGAUCCGUAGUCAAAAGGGAAACAGCCCAGACCACCAGCUAAGGUCCCCAAGUAUACGUUAAGUGGAAAAGGAUGUGGAGUUGCUUAGACAACCAGGAUGUUGGCUUAGAAGCAGCCACCAUUUAAAGAGUGCGUAAUAGCUCACUGGUCGAGUGACUCUGCGCCGAAAAUGUACCGGGGCUAAACGUAUCACCGAAGCUGUGGAUUGACAUCUUUGAUGUCAGUGGUAGGAGAGCGUUCUAAGUGCUGUGAAGUCAGACCGUAAGGACUGGUGGAGCGCUUAGAAGUGAGAAUGCCGGUAUGAGUAGCGAAAGACAAGUGAGAAUCUUGUCCACCGAAUGCCUAAGGUUUCCUGAGGAAGGCUCGUCCGCUCAGGGUUAGUCGGGACCUAAGCCGAGGCUGAAAAGCGUAGGCGAUGGCCAACAGGUUGAUAUUCCUGUACCACCUCCCCGCCGUUUGAGUAAUGGGGGGACGCAGUAGGAUAGGGUAAGCGCGCUGCUGGAUAUGCGCGUUCAAGCAGUUAGGCUGAUGAGUAGGCAAAUCCGCUCAUCAUAAAGGCUGAGCUGUGAUGACGAGGGAAUUAUAGUACCGAAGUUCCUGAUUCCACACUGCCAAGAAAAGCCUCUAGCGAGGCGGGAGGUGCCCGUACCGCAAACCGACACAGGUAGGCGAGGAGAGAAUCCUAAGGUGAUCGAGAGAACUCUCGUUAAGGAACUCGGCAAAAUGACCCCGUAACUUCGGGAGAAGGGGUGCUCUGGUAGGGUGUAUAGCCCGAGAGAGCCGCAGUGAAUAGGCCCAGGCGACUGUUUAGCAAAAACACAGGUCUCUGCGAAGCCGCAAGGCGAAGUAUAGGGGCUGACGCCUGCCCGGUGCUGGAAGGUUAAGAGGAGGGGUUAUCCUUUGGGAGAAGCUCUGAAUCGAAGCCCCAGUAAACGGCGGCCGUAACUAUAACGGUCCUAAGGUAGCGAAAUUCCUUGUCGGGUAAGUUCCGACCCGCACGAAAGGCGUAACGAUCUGGGCACUGUCUCAACGAGAGACUCGGUGAAAUUAUAGUACCUGUGAAGAUGCAGGUUACCCGCGACAGGACGGAAAGACCCCGUGGAGCUUUACUGUAGCCUGAUAUUGAAUUUUGGUACAGCUUGUACAGGAUAGGUAGGAGCCUGAGAAGCCGGAGCGCUAGCUUCGGUGGAGGCGUCGGUGGGAUACUACCCUGGCUGUAUUGAAAUUCUAACCCGCGGCCCUGAUCGGGCCGGGAGACAGUGUCAGGUGGGCAGUUUGACUGGGGCGGUCGCCUCCUAAAAUGUAACGGAGGCGCCCAAAGGUUCCCUCAGAAUGGUUGGAAAUCAUUCGUAGAGUGUAAAGGCACAAGGGAGCUUGACUGCGAGACCUACAAGUCGAGCAGGGACGAAAGUCGGGCUUAGUGAUCCGGUGGUUCCGCAUGGAAGGGCCAUCGCUCAACGGAUAAAAGCUACCCCGGGGAUAACAGGCUUAUCUCCCCCAAGAGUCCACAUCGACGGGGAGGUUUGGCACCUCGAUGUCGGCUCAUCGCAUCCUGGGGCUGUAGUCGGUCCCAAGGGUUGGGCUGUUCGCCCAUUAAAGCGGUACGCGAGCUGGGUUCAGAACGUCGUGAGACAGUUCGGUCCCUAUCCGUCGUGGGCGUAGGAAAUUUGAGAGGAGCUGUCCUUAGUACGAGAGGACCGGGAUGGACACACCGCUGGUGUACCAGUUGUCUUGCCAAAGGCAUCGCUGGGUAGCUAUGUGUGGACGGGAUAAGUGCUGAAAGCAUCUAAGCAUGAAGCCCCCCUCAAGAUGAGAUUUCCCAUAGCGCAAGCUAGUAAGAUCCCUGAAAGAUGAUCAGGUUGAUAGGUCAGAGGUGGAAGCGUGGCGACAUGUGUAGCUGACUGAUACUAAUCGAUCGAGGACUUAACCAAA
rnacentral:rRNA from 1 species